rnacentral:ncRNA from 10 species
AGCUACAUCUGGCUACUGGGUCU